UCCUCUCUCUCUCUCUCUCUCUCUCUUUAUAUCUUUAUCUUUCUAAUAUAUUUCCAAAUCUUGAAGAUCAUCAUCCACAUCCAAAGUGCUCUAAAUCCUAAAGAUUAUCCAGUUGAAAAGAUCAUCAUCCAGAUGCGCCGCACCUAAAAGAUGCUCCGAAUAAAAAUAUGAUCCAGAUAAAAAAGAUGAUGUUUCAUAUGACGGUUGAAGAUGCUCCAGAUGCUCUGGUUGAAGAUACUCCGGAAAGAUGCUACCAGAUCCAAAAGAUGCUCCAGAUCCGGUUGACUAUGUUCAAUGUUGAAGAUGAUGUUUCAGAUGACGGUUCGAUGUUGAAGAUGAUCUAAAAGGUGUUCGAUGUUGAACAUGAUGUUCCAAAUCUAAAAGAUCCUCCAGAUCCAUAAGGUUAUGCAACUGAUCUGGAUACAUUGUGGUUCAAUAAUAAUUGUGCGACGAAGAUGUAAUGGAUCUGGAUUUGUAGAAGUGAUAGUUACAAAUGGAACUUUUUUUUUGCAAUUACAUGUAUUUUUUUAUCAGUAAUACAUUACAUUUUUUGUA